AAAGACUGCCAAUCUCUGACCAGGCUGCAGCCCACACAGGUUAGAUACAGCCCGCCAGAAGCAAACACAUCAUCUGUGACCUGCUUCCCAUUGUCUUUUCCACUAGACUGCAGAUGCAGCCAGUAACUGACCUACAGACCCUGAGUUCAGCCAAGGGCCUUUGGGCAGCAGGAGACAAUGGUGGGCAAGGCAGAUGAGCAUCUGAUUAAGUGAGAUCAGUCCUUCACAUCCAGCAGAUGAAAUAACUCCCUACUUUCUGCACAGAGCAAAGAAACAGAAAACUUCUCAAAAAAUUAUCACCUGUAAAAGAUUUUAUCCUUUUCCAUUGAGGGUUUAUGAUGACAUAUGAAACCAGAGUGGUCUACAUCUGCCUUUCCCUCCUGUGUUUAGAAAGCAGCAGGUAUGGUCAAGUGCAACAGUUGUCUGGGAGUGCAGCAAGGGAAAUGGAUACUAGAGUCACAAAACCAAGCUGGACUAGGACUACAGACAGGAUGGAUGCACACACUCUGUGUCAUCCCUCUGGAGACAGGGGAGGA